AAUAAAUGUAAGUUUUACCUUUUACAUUUAUGUCUCUGGAGAAGUUUCUACAAACUGCAUUCACACACACUACUGGGCACAUCCAUGACUCUAAACGAAAUCUAACAGUUUUAGCCCAAGUGACCCUUCUUGCUGAAUGGAGGUUUUUCUGUAGGAGAUAGUGAAGGAGAACGACUGGGCUAAAGUUGCAUAGUGAGCACUAUUGCUGAGAAUGAACUUGAACCCCUGUCUCCAAGGUGAUGGUCCAGCACUCUAACUCACUGGCAUUUAUUCUGAAGCUUGCAGAGAACUAUGAUUGCAGUUACCAUCAACCAACAAAGCCACAUUUACUUCCAUCCAACAAGGAAAAGAAAGGGGGAAAUGGCGAGGAAAUAAUUGUGCAGUUGUUUUAUCCCUAACAAAUUGUUUUUACGGUUCUAAUAAAAAUAUGACUCUUAUGAAACUGUAACAUCUUUCCGUAGGUCUUCAGCACUUACUUGGCUUUUGUUAAUCUGAGUUAGUAGUUAGUUUUUCUAAUAGAGCUAUUUUUCCAACGUAUUUGUGCAAUAUACUAAUUAUAAUAUUUGUUAUAGGUUUUAAGUGCUGACAUAGAAUUGAUUGUGCUACUAAUUAAAUAUUAUUAAAGGUUAGUGUGCCAGGAUGUUAGUUAUCUCUAGUGCUAAUUUAAAGAAAAUGUUUUGUUAGUCUUAUCAGAUAUCAUAUUACUACUAUUUAUGGGACAUUAUUACAAAACUAGUGCUCCUCUACUGUGAACUCCGACUAGCUUUAAGUCAAAUGAUAUUUUGUCUGCAGUGUUCUAUGUGAUGCCUUAAAUGUAGAUCAUGGAGACUGAAGCUGGAAAGAGUUCCUGCAUGGAACAAAGAUAAUUCCAUCCAUCUUCACAGUUGUAGCCUUAGAUGUUGCCAUAUUGGCAAACAACAAACCAAGAAUAAAGUCAUGAAUGGAAAAUGGAAAA